CUGGCAGUAGGACUGGGAGUUGAGCUUGACUCCAUCCUCAACCCGAAAAGGCCCCACAAGCUCAUCUUUGAUGAUACCAGCCCAAACCAGUACUCCACCUCCACCUUGCUGGCGUCUGAGUCGGACUGGAGCUCUCUGCCCUUUACCAAUCCAGCCACGGGCCCAUCCAUCUGGCCCAUCAAGACUCACUCUCAUUUCAUCAGUCCAUAAAACCUUAGAAAAAUCAGUCUUGAGAUAUUUCUUGGCCCAGUCUUGACAUUUCAGCUUGUGUAUCUUGUUCAGUGGUGGUCGUCUUUCAGCCUUUCUUACCUUGGCCAUGUCUCUGAGUAUUGCACACCUUGUGCUUUUGGGCACUCCAGUGAUGUUGCAGCUCUGAAAUAUGGCCAAACUGGUGGCAAGUGGCAUUGUGGCAGCUGCACGCUUGACUUUUCUCAGUUCAUGGGCAGUUAUUUUGCGCCUUGGUUUUUCCACACGCUUCUUGCGACCCUGUUGACUAUUUUGAAUGAAACGCUUGAUUGUUCGAUGAUCACGCUUCAGAAGCUUUGCAAUUUUAAGAGUGCUGCAUCCCUCUGCAAGAUAUCUCACUAUUUUUGACUUUUCUGAGCCUGUCAAGUCCUUCUUUUGACCCAUUUUGCCAAAGGAAAGGAAGUUGCCUAAUAAUUAUGCACACCUGAUAUAGGGUGUUGAUGUCAUUAGACCACACCCCUUCUCAUUACAGAGAUGCACAUCACCUAAUAUGCUUAAUUGGUAAUAGGCUUUUGAGCCUAUACAGCUUGGAGUAAGACAACAUGCAUAAAGAGGAUGAUGUGGUCAAAAUACUCAUUUGCCUAAUAAUUCUGCACUCCCUGUAUAGACAGACUAACGUGUGGGCAUUAAUACUUUAAAAACUCAUCACAUUUUUGUCUUUUGAGAGCUACCAAUACUAUAUGCUUAAUUAAAUACACAUUGUCUUGUGUGUUCAGAUACAGAUGUAAACCGCUAUGAUCUACAUUGUGUGCUAUAUCGUACUCGUUACCAGAUAAAUCUAAAAAUUAAAAUACCAUUUCUUUAUGCGGACAGCAUCUGAUGACCACUCUCAGCAAUGAAUAAAACUUUGUACAUAGAAAUUGCACAUUAUUGAGUUAAACUAAUUAAAUCAAGGCCAUAGUUGGCUGCUGAGACCAUUUACGAAUACUUUAUUUACUUGCUUACAGAUAUUUCAAACCAGCUAGUUCUUAAGAGAACCCUUAACUUGUCAGAAUGUUAAAAUAUACAUUGCUGAUUUACCUCCACUGAUAUUUUAUAUAGGACAUGUUAAGCUUUAAGGUAGUAUGUAUGAAUCUUCUUCUUUUAUCUGAGAUUUAAUAAAAAUUUUGAAAUUUGUGUUUAAUUCCUGGGACCAUUUUCAUACAGGGAUAUUCAAAAAAGAAAAAAAAAGGCUGUUACUGCUCAUUUACAAUAAAUUUCUACUUAUUAGCUAAUGUAUAAAGCCAC